AUCAAGCUGUUUAUUAAAUACGAAACCAAUAGAAACUUAAAUUGAAAGAAUUUUCCUUGAUGUAUCAUGAAUUGUUUCUAUUCAUAAGUGGCAGAUAGGCGCCGAAAAAAUGUAUAGGGAAUAAUUGAUGCGCAAGUCAGUAAAAUUUCCAAUAAUUUCGUCACAAUUUUUAAUAAAAUGGGAGUUCUAUCCAUUGCGUGAGCUAAGACAAAAAAAGUUGACGAAAAAAGGAAAACUGCAAAGAUCAAACAGAAGUAUGGUGAUUGAAGCCUUAAACUGAGUUCGAGGCUAUUCUGCAAACUAUUUUCCUUUCGUUUCUCAUUUAGAGAACUUAAAAGCUCUACAAACAUUGUGGCGUUCUUGGAGAGAACAGAGGGCGGCCAACUGGGGUAGGCGAGGCCUAGAACCAAGUAUAUGUGAUCGCAAACGAAGUGCAGGCCAAGAACGUGUCUGACUACCUGGCUUUAGAAACAGGAACAGAGCCUUAAAACAUCAGCGUAUUUCACGCAAACCAUGGCAAUGCAAUUCUCGGGAAAAGGAAAGCGUACGCAUGAUCCUGUACGACGAGAACGUCUCACAAAGAGAGUCAACAAGUUCCAUGGUUACUUUGGAAGAAAGCAUGUUACAAACAUCUGAAGAAAAACCAGCAAGCGUAGUGUGAAACAAUUCACUCCAGUAAUAUAUCUGUCAAGAUAAUAACUGUUGAUUUGUAAAUCUAUCAAUAAAUAAUUUUAAACGUGGCUUCACAAACACUUUAGAGAGUCUACUUUAGACAACAUAGUUUUGAUUUCAGGGGGAAUAAAGGGUAAGUGAACUUAUGUACCACACCAAA